rnacentral:rRNA from 1 species
CCUACGGGACGCAGCAGUGGGGAAUAUUGGACAAUGGGCGAAAGCCUGAUCCAGCAAUGCCGCGUGAGUGAUGAAGGCCUUAGGGUUGUAAAGCUCUUUUACCCGGGAUGAUAAUGACAGUACCGGGAGAAUAAGCCCCGGCUAACUCCGUGCCAGCAGCCGCGGUAAUACGGAGGGGGCUAGCGUUGUUCGGAAUUACUGGGCGUAAAGCGCACGUAGGCGGCUUUGUAAGUUAGAGGUGAAAGCCCAGGGCUCAACCCUGGAAUUGCCUUUAAGACUGCAUCGCUUGAACAUCGGAGAGGUAAGUGGAAUUCCGAGUGUAGAGGUGAAAUUCGUAGAUAUUCGGAAGAACACCAGUGGCGAAGGCGACUUACUGGACGACUGUUGACGCUGAGGUGCGAAAGCGUGGGGAGCAAACAGGAUUAGAUACCCCUGUAGUC